GCUUCCCCACCUUCUGUAACGGACCGUUUCGCUUACCAGAGGUUAAAAACCGUUUAGGCGAUAAUCCCCUUUCCAGAUAUACUGCAAUCACCAAUCUCCCGAACAGGAAACACAUGAAUCUGGGAAACAGCCGAACAGGAAAAACAUACACUCAGCUUACGCUCCUGGCAAUCGGCAUACAAUCCAAAUCCCCCAAUAACGAGACGACAUUUCAGUUUGAGGGUUAAGCAGGAACUGACUGUACUGGCACAU